GCCGGCGGACGGCGGCCGGGCACCGCGGCGCGGCGAGUACCAGGUGGUGCGCCAGACCAGCGCGGAGUUAAAGCACGUGCUGGACCAGUUUGAUCGCGUCGAGCAGCACUUGGCCGACGGCCUCAGCUGGAUGCACUGCCGCUUCAGGGAGGAGCUCAACGUUCAGGACGUCAACCUGGCGUCUCUGGCCUCAUCGCUGAGGAUGCGCUUCCGGAGGUUCAACGACGUACACUCCCGUCUGGAGGCGCAGAGCGACAGCAUCCUGGCCAUGCAGACGGACGCGCGGGCCACCAGCAGUCACGCACUGGCCACGAUCCUCGAGCGGCUGGAGCAGGGAUGUCAUCCA